rnacentral:ncRNA from 1 species
AUAUUGCCGUGGUUGCACGGCCCGGACGAGCGCGUCGUACCCGGUUACGCGAAGACGGCGCAGU